rnacentral:rRNA from 1 species
ACGCACGCUGGCGGCGUGCCUAAUCCAUGCAAGUAGAACGCACAGUUUAUACCGUAGCUUGCUACACCAUAGACUGUGAGUUGCGAACGGGUGAGUAACGCGUAGGUAACCUGCCUGGUAGCGGGGGAUAACUAUUGGAAACGAUAGCUAAUACCGCAUAAUAUUAAUUAUUGCAUGAUAAUUAAUUGAAAGGUGCAAUUGCACCACUACCAGAUGGACCUGCGUUGUAUUAGCUAGUAGGUGAGGUAACGGCUCACCUAGGCGACGAUACAUAGCCGACCUGAGAGGGUGAUCGGCCACACUGGGACUGAGACACGGCCCAGACUCCUACGGGAGGCAGCAGUAGGGAAUCUUCGGCAAUGGACGAAAGUCUGACCGAGCAACGCCGCGUGAGUGAAGAAGGUUUUCGGAUCGUAAAGCUCUGUUGUAAGAGAAGAACGGGUGUGAGAGUGGAAAGUUCACACUGGGACGGUAUCUUACCAGAAAGGGACGGCUAACUACGU